GUUAAGUAGCUCCUUGGAAGUCCUACGGUCCCAGCAACGGGCUGGCCAAUGGGAAGUGAGCCGGCUGAUGUCACUGGCAGCGCCCCGCCAAUCAGUGCCUGGUCCCGAAAGGCAUCAGGAGAGAGUAACAAAAGGACUCUGCCUUUGAAAUAACGCACGUGAGCCUCUCUACAGCAUUAACCAAAGUAACACAGGUGCCUCUGAGAUCACCAUCUCGAUGGAGAAGCACUCCUGUCAGACAGAGGAGCUGUUCCCUGCUUUUGGGAACUGCAUCCCGAGGAGACUGAGUCCUGGCAGGACAGACUCCCCAACUGAAUCUUGCUGUUCUUGACUGCAGCCACACUUCCUUGUGAAAAUAGGCAGGGCCUGAAUGGUGAAGAGCUUUAUGGAUUGCUGUUAAUCUCAUUAACUGAAUGUGGAAAUGAUGAGGAAGUAUUGGCUACCGAAAUGAGGCAGUGUUGUUCUUUUCCUGCAGGAGAUAAAAAUUACUGAUGUCAGCCAUUUUGUAUGCUAGCACACUAGAUCACUGCGUGUAACCUCAAGCAAUAAUAAUCCUUUGACAUGGAUAAUUGGCAUCAGCCUGAAAUAAUUUUAUGUGGCAUAACUCAGAAAAAAAAAAAAAAACAAAAUACAAACCCAAAACCGAAAUGCACAAACUAAACAAAAGAACUAGAGGCUAGGUCUGUAAGCAGAUCAUCUGUAAGUUGGUGAUGACCCAAGAGAGAAGAUGAAUAGAGCAAUGUGCCUAACAAGGUCGUCUUCAAGACUCAGUCAUCAGCUGGCAAGUAACCCUUACCCUGUUCCUACAGCAUUUUUCCCAGCUAAUCCAGCAUCCAUUGGCCUCCAGUGCUUAAGAGACGCUAGGCACAGUAAGAGGUGUGAUUCCCCAGAUCUGAUAGGAAGGAGGAACAGAAGGUAUUGUUGUUUUUUUUUACCACUAAAUCUGUUGAUAUAGGUCUAGUUUCUGUAUAGAACUGGUGCUUACAACCUUAUGUUUCCUUCAGAGGAGCAACAGUAUUUUACACAGAAAGCUGCAUCCCUGGUUCAUUAAUCUGGAUAUCCAGGAUGUAACUUCACAGGUUACAUGUUUGUCAUCUUUUUUCGCAGCACUUUCAGAGCUUCUUUGGCUGACAGUGCCCAAAAGUUCCUGCUUGGACAUGUCCUUAUCCACAUUUCAGUGACAUGCAAGUUGCUUCCCAGAAGGUGACUUGCUUAUUUCAUAUCAGAUUCUCACAUUCAUUUGUACAGUUUAGAGAGGAAAGUGUUCUUAACAGCAACACACAUGUGCCUGGAAACAGGAUUGUGCUCAAAAACCUCUGUAUCUGUGGAUAAUAAGGGCCGUCACUCAGAUUUGACUGCUGAUGUUAUGUUGAUGUGCUGAUGGUAAUAACUGGGAUAUGGUUUCAAAGCAUGCAUUUAAUCCAUAGCUUGGUUUAUAAUUCACAGCUAUUUUUUUGCAAUAACUAGGCUAAACAAGGAUGUUCUCUUAGACUGUACAGACGAGAUGUCAAACUGGGCAGAGGGGUAGGUACUAGGUGAUCUUUAAGGUCCCUCUCAAUCCAAACUACUCGAUGAUUCUAAAUGCCUGACAGCACUUAGAUAUAAUCCUAAUACCCUUUGUCACCUGAGGGCACUCCUUUGUGAAAGCCUGAAGUCCAAAUUCAACACAGGGUUUGAAGCUCCAAACCAGCUUCUGAUUGGCAGAUGUUUGCCCUCUGCACAGUCCCUGGGUACAGGAAUGUAGCACAUCUGGGUGGAGUCAGGGGGGAAAUUGUCAGUGGCCACUUUUAAGGCAGCUGCUUGUUCUCUGUCCCAGAGGGCCUGAGCACGGGCAGGAGUGUGGGGAGUUGUGAGCAAUAAAGACUGUGACCUCCAGGUGAGUGAGAAAGGCACAGGUGGGGCUCAGGCAGAGCCGGGGGCUCACACUGAGGGGAGUGCAGGGAAAUGAUGCAGGGCAAGUAGCCAAGAGAAGAAUGAGAAGUGAGAUUCAAGAGCCUGCAAGGAAGGUGAGGGAGAACAAGUCUGUGUUUGUGAAGGAGAAGGGCUCUUCUCACCAGAGGGAUGGGCACAGGUUCUGUAAGUGGUGUAAGGCUGUGGUGGAAGAAGAGCUAUUUAUUAUUUCUGAGGCUUUCAAAAACAUGUCUUCUGUUUUCAAAACCAGAACUUUUCAGAAUAAAAGCCAUGACAACUAUCCUUUACUCCAUGCACCCCGAGUGUUGUGAACCCUGGCCCCAUACCUAAAACAUUGCACCCUCUUUCUGGAGGAUAAGGAUGACAUGCACGUGGCAGGCACUCUUGGAGAGACCCAGUCUGUGGGAACUCUCAAGGUUUUGCUCCACAAGCCAAUUUAAGUAAUGACCUUUAGUGCACUGAGUUUUUUGCCAAAAAAAACUUUUUUUUUGAGGAGCAAAUGGUCUCAUAAAGACAGUCUGAAUCAGGUGUUCUGCUUCAAACCUUGUUCUAUUGCUUUUUGUGGGCUGUUCUGUGGAGCAGAGAGGUUUCUCUGAUGGUAUCUUUAUACCAAGACAAAAUGAAGAAAUCCAUCUUUUUUCUGUGGUAACAUUUCCUAAUAUUUUGAAGGUCACAGGCUCCAAACAUUGUUCCAGAUUCUACUUUGACUUUUUUCAUUCUCCAAGGCUCAUGGCAUGUGCUCCAAAUGAUUUGACAAGAUGCUGGGGGUUGAUCAGUUGUUAUUAGUGGCUGAAAUUAUAUAUCAAGAUAAAUGGCCUGUUUGCUGACGUGUGUCCUUAAAGCCUGUGACCAUGCUGAAAAUUCAUGACUGAUUUGCUGGCGACAUGACAGAAUAGUAAUUCAGCAGUCGUAUAAAUAUGAAUGCAUUA